AGUGCAUCUAAGCUUCAUCACCGGGUGAACUGGCAUUCAGCAAGGGCAGCAGCAGAGCAAAUGCUCUGGGAGAACCGCCCCACCGCGGCCUCCAAGAAGCACAGGGAGCGACUAGGUCAGAGGGGUAUAAACUGUGGCUUCCAGAGCCUUCAGGAGCUAUGUGUUCACUGCUCCUUCAAGAAAGCUUUUAUGUGACCCACAGAUUGGAAUCCACAUACUAUUUCACUUGGAAACAGGAUUCUGCUACUAGGAAAGGGGGGAAAAAAGGAAAUGAAAGGUUUGCAAAUAAACUACUGGGAAAAAAAAAAAGGUGUCCACUUGAAGAACAUGUCCCACAAAGCAAAUGUUAGGCUCAAAACUGGGAGGGAAUAACAACAGGUGGGACAGUAUAUAACAAAGUGUCCAGGUUUUGCCUUCCUGCCAAAAUUACAACCUGAAUAUAUAACCUAUUCUGGAAGGCUUGACCAAAAUUGUAUCAAGCAGACUUGGGAAAGGGUGCUUAGGGCUGUAACUGGGAUGCCCACAAGCACUUUUCCACUAGCAUUCACAAUUUACAGCUAGAAUGCUACCCAUGCCUUACACCUGCUGGUUAUACAGUGAACCAAAAAGUCAGCUCUGCACACACAAUCCACUCUGCUCACUUACAUCUGAUGGUGGCUCCACGUAUGAGAGACGUAGGAACCGAGACUUCUGGAACUAGACAUAACUGGUAUGUAACUUGAUGCUGUCAUACGUCACUUUAGAACACA
rnacentral:lncRNA from 1 species